AUUCACCAGUUAGGAGAACCAAAUAUGCCUGUGAGAGGAAGAGCAUCCUUUUCUACUUCCUGCCUAGCCUCUUGUUUGUUCUCCUGGGAGACAAGGUCUAGCACCACCCCACCACCCCAAUCUGGGUUCGUUCAAGUCCAGUGUAAACUGCACCAAGAAGGAAGGAAUAGGGGAAGGAAAGAAAACAUGAAGUCUGUUAUAAAAAGGAAAAGAGUUGGUCCACUGGAGUGGGACUCACCAUCUGCCCUGGAUGGGAUACACGGUUGGGCAUUCCACCAUAGCUAUGUGAGCUCAG